rnacentral:rRNA from 1 species
UACGAAGGGGGCGAGCGUUGUUCGGAUUUACUGGGCGUAAAGGGCGCGCAGGCGGUCUUGAAAGUCAGGCGUGAAAGCCCCGGGCUUAACCUGGGAAUUGCGCUUGAUACUCUGAGACUGGAGUACGGGAGAGGAGAGUGGAAUUCCCAGUGUAGAGGUGAAAUUCGUAGAUAUUGGGAAGAACACCAGUGGCGAAGGCGGGUCUCUGGGCCGAUACUGACGCUGAGGAGCGAAAGCGUGGGGAGCGAACAGG